AAAACAUGUGUCCUGUGUUGUUAUGGGCCCCACACUUCAAGAAGGAUAUGAACAGUUUGGAAAGUGUCUAGCACAGACAACAACAAUUAUUAAAGGCCUGGGAAGUAAGACUUAUGAGGAAUGGCUGAAAGAGAUAGGAUUAUUUAGUUUGGGGAAGAGACAAUUGAGGGGGGAACU